rnacentral:rRNA from 1 species
UGCAGUCGAGGGGCAGCAUUUACUUCGGUAAGAUGGCGACCGGCGCACGGGUGCGUAACGCGUAUGCAACCUACCUUAUACAGGGGAAUAGCCCAUGGAAACGUGGAUUAAUACCUCAUAGUAUUGUUUUAUCGCAUGAUAUUACAAUUAAAAUUUCGAUGGUAUAAGAUGGGCAUGCGUCUGAUUAGCUAGUUGGUGAGGUAAUGGCUCACCAAGGCAACGAUCAGUAGGGGUUCUGAGAGGAUUAUCCCCCACACUGGUACUGAGACACGGACCAGACUCCUACGGGAGGCAGCAGUGAGGAAUAUUGGUCAAUGGACGAAAGUCUGAACCAGCCAUCCCGCGUGCAGGAUGACGGCCCUAUGGGUUGUAAACUGCUUUUCUACGCCAAAAAACCUACCAACGUGUUGGUAGUUGACGGUAGCGUAGGAAUAAGCACCGGCUAACUCCGUGCCAGCAGCCGCGGUAAUACG